GAUCAUGGCUCAGGAUGAACGCUAGCUAACAGGCUUAACACAUGCAAGUCGAGGGGAAACGACAUCGAAAGCUUGCUUUGAUGGGCGUCGACCGGCGCACGGGUGAGUAACGCGUAUCCAACCUGCCCACCACUUGGGGAUAACCUUGCGAAAGUAAGACUAAUACCCAAUGAUAUCCCACGAAGGCAUCGGAAUGGGAUUAAAGAUUUAUCGGUGAUGGAUGGGGAUGCGUCUGAUUAGCUUGUUGGCGGGGUAACGGCCCACCAAGGCAACGAUCAGUAGGGGUUCUGAGAGGAAGGUCCCCCACAUUGGAACUGAGACACGGUCCAAACUCCUACGGGAGGCAGCAGUGAGGAAUAUUGGUCAAUGGACGAGAGUCUGAACCAGCCAAGUAGCGUGCAGGACGACGGCCCUAUGGGUUGUAAACUGCUUUUAUAAGGGAAUAAAGUGAGUCUCGUGAGACUUUUUGCAUGUACCUUAUGAAUAAGGACCGGCUAAUUCCGUG
rnacentral:rRNA from 1 species